AUACAUUUCUCGGCCUUUUGGCUAAGAUCAAGUGUAGUAUCUGUUCUUAUCAGUUUAAUAUCUGAUAUGUGGGCCAAUGGUCCACACGAUAUUAAAUUUGUUUUUUUAGGAUGAGAGUCCACCAAAAUAGCUUGCUAUUAGGUCUCUCAAGUGUCAUCUUUACGUUGCACUAUUGCAUUGGUCUGGCGCGCCCCAC
rfam:Medicago truncatula strain A17 chromosome 8, whole genome shotgun sequence.